AGAGUUGAUGGCAGCUUCAUGAGCAAGACAUACAGUGCUGUCUCAACUUGUGGAUAGUAGUCUGCAAGUGCUGAAAGCUCAGAGUCUGCAAUAGCAGUACUGACAUGCUGUAUGCAGAAGCUGGCCUUUUGACUCCAUGAGGAUAUUGAAGAUGUUCUGCAAUCCCAACUCUUGUUGGUAUUAGCUUACUGAAUUUAUGUCAGAUAGCCCAGCUGGAUCCCAGCUUGCAUCUAUUCUUCCGCCUUUGGUCCUGGAGGGAUCCCAAAGCAAGUGAUGAUGGUUUGGCAGCUCCUGGGAGAAACGGUGCUCCUUGCGGAGAGGCUGCCUAGACUGGCAUCACUGGCUAUCAGCAGUGACUGGUUGAAAAAAUACCUGCCUCCUUUAACAUCUGUAACAGUUGAAGGCAGAGCUCACCAGUUCAUUUCCAGCAAAGCAGCUUGGCAACCACUUUGCAGUUAGGAAUGAGUUCUGGGGAAAGUUCCACCACCAGUUCCACCACUGGAUUCCUUUCUGGACUGGAGAACCCUUUCUCAAACUCAGGAUAACCCCCUUGCCUGUAUGAAAUGGCUGUUAGCCUGCCCUGCACAGUGGUAAAACAGCAGUGUGAGGUGAAAACAUAGGGAACAUCCCCUCAUGUGGAAAUCUCUAAGUGAUUUAAAGGAAGCUGACAGUUCCCAGAGAAAAAUCAAAGAGAAAAAGCAGAAAUAAAGCUGAUGAAUUCUUCCACAGUCUGAAGGCAAUGGAGAGGAACUUCCAGAUGUAAUUAAAUGCACUGUUAACUUUGUUAUUGAUAAGACUGUCUGCCAGUGGUGAGGAGAUGA